GCAGAAAGGAGAAAGAAGGUAUCUAAAGUAAAUGGCCUUAUGUAUAAUCCUGAAUUAUAAAUGGCUGAAGAGGAACAGCCCCAGUCUGCAGCGCCCAGGGAGACCAACGCAGAAGGCAGAAAGUUUCAGAAAGGUGAUGAAAUUUAAGCUGGGCUUUAAAGGCUACAUCAAAUUUGACAAAUGGAAUUGUGAGGAAAGCACAUUAGAAGUAAAGAGUGAACCCACAAAAACAAGAGAACAUCAUGUUUCUAGAGGCUGCCUGCAUUCCUUGGCUAAUGACUUUGCAUCACUCUGACGUCUUGCUCCCAUGGUCGUAUCACCUACUACUGGCCCUGAUCUCACUACUUGUUAUAUGGAACAAAGGGAUAAGGAAGUGACUUGCCUAAGUCACUGAGGAACCUAAUAUUGAGAUUAGCACUCAAUGAUUCCUGGCUCUCAGAAUGUGUGCUGCUACCACCAGGCCACACUCUUCCCUCCAGAGAGAAGAUGUGUCAGCACGGAAUUGUGCUGAAGCAAAGAUGUGAAAUAGAAUGAUUACAUAUCUACCUAGUGGGAAGAUCUGGGGAAGAAUCUAUCAGUGCUGGCAGAGAAGCAAACCAUACGACAUCACUCAUCCCCAGAAAGUGAAGUUAAGGGAAAUAAAAAACAAUCUACACCAUUUAGAAAACACAGCCACCCCAUACCCUUGGAAAAAAUACACUAAAAUAUCUUCAUCUGAUUUGACCUCUAAUAACAUGAAUAAUUGUCUUAUAACUCACUUUCUUACCUCUUGAUUAUUCUACAGAUCCGGCACAUAUGAGCAAAAUCUGAUGAAAUUCACUCAUUUAAUUUGAAGAUUUUAAUUAUGUAGAAAAAGUAGGUUCGCAUUCUUUCUUAUUAAUAGAGUUCAAAAGACUUAAGGCCUAGAGUCUAG
rnacentral:lncRNA from 1 species